UUACUACUUUUCUUCAACUGAUUUAAAGUAUCUUCAUAUCACAACAGCCCCCUUCAAGCUAGGUGGGGCAAAAAUGUUAAACACACCUAGCUUGGACAAAAGAUAUUCAUGUUGCACUCUGGCUAACCCUUUAGUUAGAAUAUCAGCUGGUUGUUCUUGAGUAGGAAGAUAGUUAACACUAAUUAAACCUUGUUGUAACCUCU
rnacentral:lncRNA from 1 species